AAUGAACGUUGGCGGCGUGGAUUAGGCAUGCAAGUCGUACGGGCCGCAAGGCCAGUGGCGCAAGGGUGAGUAAGGCGACGGCAACCAACCCCAUGGCUGGGUAUAGCCGCGGGAAACCGCGGGUAAUCCCCAGCGACGCAGCGGGCCGGCAUCGGCCUGCUGCCAAAGCUCCGGCGCCGUGGGACGGGCCGUCGUGGUAUUAGGUAGUUGGCGGGGUAACGGCCCACCAAGCCGACGAUGCCUACCGGGCGUGCGAGCGUGGCCCGGCACACUGGGACUGAGACACUGCCCAGACUCCUACGGGAGGCUGCAGUCGAGAAUCUUCGGCAAUGGGCGCAAGCCUGACCGAGCGACGCCGCGUGGAGGACGAAGGCCUUCGGGUUGUAAACUCCUGUCGAGGGGGAAGAAGGGUCGAAAGACCUUGACUGAUCCCUGGAGGAAGCACGGGCUAAGUUCGUGCCAGCAGCCGCAGUAAAAC
rnacentral:rRNA from 1 species